GCUGGGUGUGGUGGCUCACACCUGUAAUCCCAGCACUUUGGGAGGCUGAGGCGGGUGGAUCACCUGAGGCCAGGAGUUCGAGACCAGCCUGGCCAAUAUGGUGAAACCCCGUCUCUA
rnacentral:SRP_RNA from 1 species